AUAAACGCUAAAACAAAAAAAGAACGUUACAUUAGAUUAUAUGUAGAUUUUAUAAUAACGGUAACUAAUUAUUAAAAUGCGGACAUUUAUACAUUUAUGAGAAAUUUAAAAGUGCAAAACGUAUACACAGAAUGCAUAGAAUGUACAAAAGUAUAUAAAAUAUUGGAUUGUUAGAAAAAUUCGUAACGAGUGUUAAGAAACAUUUAACUAGAAUUAGACUUUCUAUCAUCUUUUCCUUUCUUACGUAUGAAUUCAUUCAAAUAGCUUUUAUAGGAUUCCAGAGUAUUUCACGAAUUUUGUAAGUUAUGAGAUAUUUCAAAUAAAGUCUAUACUACAUUGUAAAUUUAGAAAAAUAUAAUAUCUAUAUAAAAUUAUAACGUAUUAAAUAUAGGUCUCUAUCAAAAAUUAUAAUAUGAUUUUAAUCAGCUAUGAAACAAAAUUUAAUAAAUGCUAUGUUACAUUGUGUAACGAGUUAAUGAUAUACCUGAAAUUUAACUUUGGAAUCUUUAUAUAUGAACAAUAUGCAUAGAUUAAAUUUAUUUCAAUGCACUUAGCAAGGAAUUAUGUCAACUAAGAAUCAACUUUUCAUGACACGUGCAUAUUUUCUGUAUAACAUUCUAUAUGCGAGAACACACCUUAAUGCUGUGAAUGACAUGUUUUUAAAGAGAGAAAGUGAAUGGAGAAACUGGUUUCGGCGGGACAAUUAUUUCUUGACUCGUGAUAACGUUGACCCAAUCGUUUUUACUCCUUACAUUUAUGCUUUUUUCAUUUUAUUACCAUAUUCAUUGCUUCUUUCAGUCGGCUAUUUGUACUGCGCAUUGUUGGAAAAAAGUCUAGCGGAGCGGCACAGGGACAAGGAAGCUACUGCGCUGUAUUGUUUGCCGUCUCGCGUUGUUGUAUUAUUUUACUUGUAUUAGAUCGUCCAAAAAGUUUCUUUCGCUUUAUAAGGAAAUAAUGGAUGCACAGCAUUUUCCGUUUUAUAUUAUUUUAUCGAAUUACAUAUGAUCCAUUUUGUUCAAAAAUCAAAAUAAAGAUCACAACGUUCGACAGAUUAGUUUUCACAUUUGUAUAAAGAUGCGUCGUUGUAAAAGACGUGUCUGUAAAAGAAAGACACUUUUCGGACAACCUAAUAUAUGUAACACUUUCGGGUAGUACGCGUGCUUAUCUUUAUGAUUGUACUGAGUCUAUACGAAAUAACGUUAAUCUUCCCUUCAUACAGUAGCUCACAAAAGUAUUUAAACAGUUAUUGAAACUUUUUAUAGAUAUACUAUGUGUGUUAUACGAAAAAUUUUGAAAUUUCAUUAACACUGUAACAAGAGUCGAUUAUGAUGAUCAUGCUGUUAAAGUUUGAAACAAAUCUGAAAAAAUGCAUAGAAGUUACUAAAUGUUUAAUGCAAGUAUAUAUAUUUACUUAUAUAUAUAUAUCUUGCAGAAAUCACAAAAAUGUUUAUAUAGUCAAUUAUCUAUUAAUAUACCUAAUAUUGAGACAUAAGCUUCAUUGGUAAUAUUGGUAAUAUUGGUAAUAUUGGUAAUAUUGGUAAGCCUAAAUAUUUAAUAGGAUCAUUUUGAACAUUUAUCAGCUACUUAUGCUACGUAUUAAUCUUUUACUAAAUGUGUGAUAUUUACGCAGUAAAUGCAUGUACUUGCAUAUAAAUUUUCAGAUUGAUCCUAAAUAUGAUGAAUAUAAUCAAGACAGUUGCAUAUCAUUACAGUGUUAAUGAAAUUGCAAAAUAUUUUAUAUAACAUAUACGAUAUGAACAUAAAAGUUUCGUAAAUACGUACAUACUUUGUUCAGAUAUCUUAGGUGAACUAUUAUAUGAUAGUGUAUAUAACCUUCAUUGUUGGACGGUCAAUUAACGCCUUCGAGAAAUAAAGUUCUCACUUCAACUUUACGUUCACAGUGACCGUGCAAGAUGUAGGAGACAUGGAACGAGGAAAAAAUAAGAUUUAAUUUAAAGAGAUUUUGAAUCUCGUCUGUAUCAUUUCCAACGGUCGUUAAUAGCAAUCGAAUGAUGGGGGCGCUGCACGCACAACGUUCUCUUUCAUUUACGCGCUAUUAAGCAAACGAUACAUUUCCCGCUAUCUUUUUGAUCUAAACGCCACAUAAAGGCCCGAGUAUUGAGAUACAAAAGUAAUGUUUUCUUUUUUCCAUCUCAUAGUUAUCAAUCGAACUGAUUCAGUAAUUGGUGUAUUUUCGUUUCGCUGGGUCAUUGUACCAAGUAAAAUCGUCACAGAUAUAUCGUAGCUAAAAAUACGUUGGUACUUAAAAAGAUAAGUAGCAUUUCGGGUAAAAAUAACUCAAACCAAAAUUAUCUAUUGAAAACGAGAAAUAAAGAGACAGUUACUUAAUAGAUAGGAUGCUUCUCGUAACUGGACCAAGGCAUAAUUUUAAAAUAUGUAAUAAGCAAUACACGAAGCUUUCAUUGAGCAAAAUUAAAUGUUUUCGCGUAGUGCGUCAUGUGAUUAUACAGAAGUGAAGGUGUUUCGAAGAUUUCAAAGUAAUCUCCAUUUUUUAAAAUUGUAUAUGCUUCCAUAUACAGUCCAUUUGACUGGUGAUUUAUUUUAGUGAGUUCCAGAGACCAAUUAUGUACUUGCAUAUGAAACUAGUUUUUUUCGCGUAACUAUUCCCGCUAAUUCAACCUUGACUGUGGCGUUGCUGAACAAAAAAAAAAAAAAAAAAAAAAAAAGUUUGUGGAGAUUGGUUCAAGAUAAACAACGAGAGAAAAAGAGAUUCUUCUCCAAGCACUUCGACAAUGUUAUUUUUUUUCAAAUUAUAAACAUGCUCAAAGGUAUUCGAACUAUGUUCCUCUUUAUAAAUAUCGAAAGAUAACUUCAGCAACGAAUUAUAUACGUACUACAAUGUUUGGAUCUUUUCAUAUCUGAAUUGCAAAUGUAGUAUAUAGUGUACAUUAAUCAUCAGAGGUCUAUCAAUGGGUACAAAGUAUAACUGUAUCUUGUAAAAAAGUGUAUGGCAUUGGUUAGGUAAAUUGGAUAAAAAUCGUGGAUUUCAAAUAUACAUUUGAAAAUAAGAAUAAACCAGAUGCUAUACUGAUUCUAAUUAUACAUUUAUAUUUGUUCUAUACUAUUCUCAUUAUCUGUUUCAGAGGCAGCGAAAAAAUCAAAUGAAUUCUAAUAAUGCUCUUGAAAUUAAUUCAUAGAUUGUCAUAAAUAUAAAAAGAAAAGUUCUUUUAGGUAUAGAAAAUAAAAAGAGAAAUUCCUUUAGGUAUAGUUUCCUAUAAAUGUCUAUUGGAAACACUUGCAAUGAAAUUUUCCGUAAAAAGACCAUAACGAAUUGCCUACAAUGCCAUUGGGUAUGUUGCAACUAAUAUAGUUCAGAGAUACGUGCCAAUAUCACUAAAAAUACAGGGACCGUAGAACGCAUAGAGAGCUUGCUGUUACGGCUCACACACGAAAUUAAAUAUUCACGCUGCUAAAUCAGAGUGAUAUAUAAGUUGUUACUUGCAAAAAAUGACUAACAUAAUCUGAUACGUCCGAGGAAUACCUACAUCACGCCAUUAUGCACGAAUAUGCACGAGAUUAACAAAUUGCCGGGAACUUUGCGCUAGCAUGUUCGUGUGAGUUAUGAAUACCCAUAAGAUAAAGAAUAGAUACAGUGAGUCACAAACAUUUAUAUACACUAAAAGCACUCUUUGCCGUUUUUCAUGUUUAUAUCUUAAUAUAAUCUGAAAUUUUUUUGGUAUAUUGAUGUAUUUCUAGAAAGAAUUAAAGAGAUAUAAAAGUAUUGUAACUUAUAAAAGUUCAAGGAUGCCAUGUAAGAAAUUACAACCUUAAAUUUUAUCAAUACAGGAUCGAUAAGAUUGCAGGCCGUUAGUAAUGUAUAUCAAGAAGAUAUACCUAUGAGAGAUUAAUUUAAUAUUUAAUAUCUGUUUUAUGAUUUCAUAUAGAUAUAACAGGCGUAUAUAUUCUUUUGUGAGAUUGUAUUUUGUAUUAUUUUUUUACCUCCUGAAGGAUUGUGUUAUUUUUCCAAAUAUGUAUUUGGCUCUAUUAAUACAAAAUUUAAUUUGAAACAAAAUUGCUGGAGCUAAUGUCUUCAUUUUUAUGUAAAAGAUGUAUGUGUACUUUUGUUACUAACUGUACAUCGUGUUAAAAUGAAAUACAGGAGAAGUAUUAAGCAAAAGUUUAAAAAUAUGAUAUCAUCAUAAAAUAUAGAGUCUAUUGUGACAUAAAAUAAGAAAAAGAGGAAAUUGAGAUUAUUUCUUUAUGCAUAGUUUAGCUCAACAAGUUGAACUAAAAACAAGGAAAAGAAAACCGUAUAAAUAUAAAUAAUUGUUAGGUGAAAUUAAAUGAAUUUAAUUCAUUCACAUUCAUAUACAAAGCAGCAGACAUAUGCCGAUGAAUAAUUAUAAAUGUGCAACUGUAUUUACCAUUUUGGAGCAGUUUGGAGGAGUGUGCGUUUGAACGCGCGAACUCAUAACGAAGAUCAACAAUCUACACUCUUCACGGAAUAAAGGAAAAAAAAAUAAGAAGAAUCAGAUGAAAAAGCACUUUUCGAGGAGAAGACACCAGUAUUUAGUCUAAUAUUACGAUAAUGAAAAGAUUGGAUAACGAAAUAUGUACUUGGCAUACAACUAAAUUAUGUUAAAUGACAGCGGUGAAAGACACCAGUAUACUGAAUAAGAACGCCGCGAAACGGCAUCGACAAACAUCAACGACAAACCACGAAGUUAGCCGACGAUCGCCGAACAUUUUCGGUCAUCUGUGGAUUCUUAAAACUAUGAUUUUAAGAUGACUACAUGUUAUAUAUAUCUUAUACGAUAUCCAAAUGAUGAAUGUGAAUGAAAUUUGCUUAUGUAAGUUAUUGAUGACUUUAAACAGGUUUUUAUAGCGUUAUAAUAAAACCUUCUCUCCUAUGCUAAAGAUUAUAUACUUAUGAUUUCCCUUCCAUUUAGAUCAGUUAUUUUCAAAUGAAGAUAUAUUACAAGAAUCGCGUGUAUUUGAUUUGAGGAAUAAAGAGACGCAUUUUGAAAGAAUGAAAAGAUCAUUAUUUCCAAUGCAGUGAAUAAAUCAGUAUAAUAAAUCAGGAACAGGAUUUUCAUUAGAUAUCAUAAAUAAAGUUCUUUUAAAUUUAAAAUUGCAUACCCAUUAUGGGAAACAUAGGUUUCAAGUUAUACAGAUUUUCGAAGAUAAACUGAAAGCAAUCACGUAUCUUCUUGCAACAGCAAUUGCAACAGUUUCGUUUACAUCAUACAUCUACAUCAAAGAACGGGUGAAAAUGUAAACUAAUAUUUGACCAAUGUUAAAACAAAUUUAUCGUCCUUUUAACGAUUUGUAAACAUUUUUAACAGCUUAAAUUUUGUAACUACGUAUAAAAGACUCAUCAAGCGGAUAAUAGAAAAACAUAUACAGUAGCUAUAAAUUGCACAGAAAGUUAAUUUAUGAUAUAGAAAUUUUGGAAAGCUUCAUUCUGAAAUACAAUACAAGGCUCAUAGAGAAGUUAUAGGCGCGAAAUAAUUUCCGCUAAAGAAAACUGGGGAGCAAUAUAGCUGGUAGGUAAUUUUACUUAUGGGCUUCUCCUCAUGGCAAGCGUCCAGGAUCAUUUCCAUCGAAGAGAAACGCGUCGCCCGCAGUCAUGGUCAGGGUAUCCCUAACCUACUUGCAUUGCUACCGACUGAUCUAUUUAAAACCUGAUCCCUACAGUGAAAAUUCACUUUGAAAUGAAACUGUUCACUUGUUUUGAUAUUACCCUCGCUUCGACCGACAUCAGGCUCGUUGAUAAAUUUCUGAUCAUAAACAAAUAUAAUAUACUCAGAAUUAAUAUACUCUUUUAUAUAAUUGUCUAGAAAAUUAUCUGGAUGAUUAUUUAUAAACUUAUUUAUUAUCUACCACUACUAUUAUUUAAUUAAUCAUAGAAGUAAACAUUACCUAAAAAUUUGCCUACAGAGAUUUUGACGAACCUGUCCUUGAUCGAAACAAAAACUCUUAACUGCGAGAUUGAUUUACAAGAAACCGUUCCAAUAUAAGGCACCUAAGCUUGAUUUAUCGCAGUUCGCAGGAAUUCCGCCUGAAAAAUCAAUCGCUUCGAGGGAACGACAAUUUUAGAAUACAUUCUUAUACCGUUUUAAAGAUAUCCAAUAAUAACCAUGGAAAAAUAUUUUAAUCCCUAGAUAUAAAAUUUACUUAGCUAAAUAUAAAAUUGUAAAGUUUCACGCAACUUAUCCGCUUUUGUUCUCUACUAUUUUACCCAACAUCUUAGAGGAUUAUUAUAUUGACUACAAAUUAGAUAAGCCAACAAGGAGCAUAUUUCGCAGGAGCAAAAGGGUUUCAUGAUAUAGUUGAAACAAUUAAUUAGUCGGCAAUGCACAUUGAAGAAGUGUGAUGCGCGUAGAGAUUAAUUGCAAGAAAUCGUACCGAGUUGUUAAGCCCAUUACCUCGAGAUAUGAAUGUCCUAGAAUCUCAAUUAAUAACGUCAUUCGUUUGUGCGCCGCCUUUUCGUUAUAGAAUUUCUGCGAAUUUUCAAUGGGAAGUUCUUAUUUUCUUAUUAUUGCAUUCCUCGUGUUCAUAACAAAUUAUUCACGGUAUCCUGUUAUUACUUGGGAAUCAUUGACUGCACGCCGGUUUCUAUACAAAUUUAUAAAUAUAGCAAUGUCGGAUGAUUGGAUCUAGGAAAUUCUACAUUUUUUUUUGGAUAGUAUUUUUAUCACGGAAUGAUAAAAAAUUGUAAUAUGGUAGAAUUAGAAGAACAAAAUAGAAGAAUUAAUUACAGAAGAAUAUUAUAGAUUUCACUAAUGAAAUAUUAAUAAUAUCAUAUAUGUAACAUUGUAAUCAUGAAAUCGUUAAAUAAAAAAGAUACUGUUGAUAGUCAUGUAUAUUAACUCUAAGGUGAUAAGGGAGAUGAGCAUAUAUGAUCAAUAAUUUGUAGAACUUUCGUAAUUGUUAAAGAACAAAACGAAUAGCAGCAAGUAGGCGUACGUUACAUCAUGGCAAAUACAUAAUACCAUGUUGUUAUCGUCGAAAUAAGGAGAGUGAAGAAAGUUUCGUAACAAUAUUUUUUCAAGGUAGAUUUUAUAUCAUGAAACAUAUAGCCUGAAUAAAAUAUAACUUAAAUUUGCAAA